AAUAGAUACCCAGGUAGUCCACGCCGUAAACGAUGAGUGCUAAGUGUUAGGGGGUUUCCGCCCCUUAGUGCUGCAGCUAACGCAUUAAGCACUCCGCCUGGGGAGUACGGCCGCAAGGCUGAAACUCAAAGGAAUUGACGGGGGCCCGCACAAGCGGUGGAGCAUGUGGUUUAAUUCGAAGCAACGCGAAGAACCUUACCAGGUCUUGACAUCCUCUGACAACUCUAGAGAUAGAGCGUUCCCCUUCGGGGGACAGAGUGACAGGUGGUGCAUGGUUGUCGUCAGCUCGUGUCGUGAGAUGUUGGGUUAAGUCCCGCAACGAGCGCAACCCUUGAUCUUAGUUGCCAGCAUUCAGUUGGGCACUCUAAGGUGACUGCCGGUGACAAACCGGAGGAAGGUGGGGAUGACGUCAAAUCAUCAUGCCCCUUAUGACCUGGGCUACACACGUGCUACAAUGGACGGUACAAAGAGUCGCGAGACCGCGAGGUGGAGCUAAUCUCAUAAAACCGUUCUCAGUUCGGAUUGU
rnacentral:rRNA from 1 species